AUGGGCUGGGACCACCCACCCCCAGCGUCCCCCCCAAACAUACCAGGGGUCUAUGAAGACCUCCACCAAGGCGGUGAAGAAGAGGACGACGCAGGAGCAGCUGAAGGCGGCCCCGCUUUGCUUCUCCUUCUCCACCGAGUAGCGCGUCUCCAUCUCGGGGUCGAUGAAGCGCAUGGAGAGCCGGAAGGUGCUCUUCCCCUUCAACCUGCCAGCGACACGGCCGUCAGCUCCCCACGGCGCCGGGGCCGUGCCGGGACGUGUUGCCAGCCGGGUAACUCACGCCUGGACAGAUUCGCGCUCCAGCAGGGCCUCGUUGAGCAGCUUGUUGAGCUCCUGCUCGUUCUGCGACGCGUCGAUCACCCGCUCGGCCAGGUCCCGCAGCCGCAGCCGGCGCCGCGGGUUGGGGAAGGAGGGGUUCACCGCCUGCGCCACGAAGCCAAGCAUCAACAAAAACGUGCCAGCACCGGGUGGUCAAGGCGUCAGCCCCCCGUUGACGCCGUGGUCAAGGUGUCAGCCCCCCCAAAAAACGCAAAUAAGUCGCUGGAGGGGAUGCUUCCCCUGCGCCCUACCUCUCCAUCCUCCUCCCCGCUCUCCAAGGUGCCCCUCGCCCUGGCGUCGGGCUCUUCGGACUCGUCGGGGCUGGCGCAGGCCACGCUGAGGCUGCCGUUGCGCUCCUUGGUGUUGACGAGCGGCGGGGAGCCGCCGUGGGACGAGGUGAGGGACAGCUUCUGCGGGGAGAAGGCGGUGGCUCGAGGAGCGCCCAGGUUCGCCCGCGGCGCCGGCGCCCGCGCCGCCACUCACCACCCCGUUGAUGCCGUUGCGCAGGGGCUGCUUGGGCACCACGAUGAGGUAGGUGACGAUGCCCUUCUCCUUCAGGUACUCGCAGCGAGAGCCCCCCUCGCCCGGCUCCACCUCGAACUCGCCCUUCAAGCAGUCCAUGGUGCUCUGCGAGAUGUGCACGCGCCUGCGGGGCGCGCGGGGUGCCGUGAAGCGGGGGCUUGCCCCCACGGGGCCACCACGCCGUGUCCCCGGCACGGGAUGCUCACCCCGGGAUGCCUCCUGCUUCCAUCUUGUUGGCCACGGUGA
rnacentral:lncRNA from 1 species